UUCUUCGGAUUGAUUCUUAAUUGACUGAGCGGCGGACGGGUGAGUAACGCGUGGGUGACCUGCCCCAUACCGGGGGAUAACAGCUGGAAACGGCUGCUAAUACCGCAUAAGCGCACAGAGCUGCAUGGCUCAGUGUGAAAAACUCCGGUGGUAUGGGAUGGGCCCGCGUCUGAUUAGGCAGUUGGCGGGGUAACGGCCCACCAAACCGACGAUCAGUAGCCGGCCUGAGAGGGCGACCGGCCACAUUGGGACUGAGGCACGGCCCAAACUCCUACGGGAGGCAGCAGUGGGGAAUAUUGCACAAUGGGGGAAACCCUGAUGCAGCGACGCCGCGUGAGCGAAGAAGUAUUUCGGUAUGUAAAGCUCUAUCAGCAGGGAAGAUAAUGACGGUACCUGACUAAGAAGCCCCGGCUAACUACGUGCCAGCAGCCGCGGUAAUACGUAGGGGGCAAGCGUUAUCCGGAUUUACUGGGUGUAAAGGGAGCGUAGACGGCAAGGCAAGUCUGAUGUGAAAACCCAGGGCUUAACCCUGGGACUGCAUUGGAAACUGUCUGGCUCGAGUGCCGGAGAGGUAAGCGGAAUUCCUAGUGUAGCGGUGAAAUGCGUAGAUAUUAGGAAGAACAC
rnacentral:rRNA from 1 species